GAUAAACUAUGUGACACUGGACUUGGACACCGACUCCCAGUAACUCACUUGGCCACUGAGGAGGGAGGCUGGCACUCUCCCCUCCUGACUGUAUGGCCUGCUGCUGGGGAUGGGAAAGACAGUUUCCACUUCCAGUAACUCAGACUGCCGCUGGGGAGGCAGGCGAUACUUUCCUCUCCCUGAAAAAACAACUGCCGUCUG